AUCAUCACGUGGAGGUGAAGGUGGAGGAAGGCUCAGAGUCUGUCACCCUGCCCUGCAAAACAACACCUGACCUGCCUGAGAACACCAGAGUGGAGUGGACUCGCUCUGACCAUGAACUCUUGAUAGUUCAGGAGUAUUCAAACAAAGGUGGCAAACUUAUGAAACAGGACAAGUUUUACAGAGACCGAACAGAAAUGAAUGAAGACCUGCUGAAAACUUCAGUCUGACCCUGAAACAGCCCACAGAGAGAGACACAGGAGGAUACAUCUGCACCAUCUACAGGGACAAAGACAUCCUGAGACAGAAAGUAGUGCUGCACUAUGUCAGAGAAAAACUUCCACUUUGGGCCACAGCUGUCGUAGUUCUUCUUGUUCUUGUGUUUUUUGGGGGUCUCACAUAUAGAUUUCGACACUAUUUCAUGUCAGACUGUCAGGUGCAGGUGGAGUCAGGGGUGGAGUCUGUAAAGCUGCCUUUCAAAACCAAAGCAAAAAAUAUACCUGAAGAUGCUAAAGUGGAAUGGAAGGACAGAUACAACAACAAAGUCCAUGUGCACCAGAAUGGUUGUGAUAGGAUUGAAGACCAAAGCCCAGCAUACAGGAAGCGAACAGAGAUGAACCUGCUAGAAACUGGAGACCUCAGUCUGGCCCUGAAACACCCCACAAACAAGGACAGAGGCACCUACACCUGCACCGUCUACAACAAGGAGGGAGACCUGAUGAAAAAACAAGUGGAGCUAAAAGUCAGAGUCCCCCAGGUGGAGGUGGAUUCAGGGGUGGAGUCUGUCCAGCUGCCUUUCAAAAUCAGAGUUCGUCUGAUUAAAAAAAAAAAAGACCCUAAAGUGGAGUGGACGGAGAACAAGAAGAAGGUCCAUGUGUAUAAGAACGGCUCUGACCAGCCUGAAGAACAGCACCAGGAUUACAGAGAUGAAUGAAGACCUGCUGAAAUCAGGAGACCUCAGUCUGAAACUGAAAUAUCCCACAGACGAGACACAAACACCUACACCUGCACCGUCUACAGCAGGGAGGGAAACAUCCUGCUGAAGAAACAAGUGGAGCUUAAAGUCAGAGUCCCCCAGGUGGUGGUGGAUUCAGAUGUGGAGUCUGUCCAGCUGCCCUUCAAAACCAGAGUUAACCUGUCUGAAGAGGAUAAAGUGGAGUGGAAGGACAGAAACAUCAGGAAGGUCCAUGUGUAUCCAGAAGUGUCUGACCAGCCUGAAGAACAAGACCAGGUUUAGAGACACCGAACGCAGAUGAAUAAAGACCUGCUGAAAACUGGAGACCUCAGUCUGAAACUGAAAUACCCCACAGACUGGGACACAAACACCUACACCUGCACCGUCUACAGCAGUUCCUGUAUGCUAAAGAAGAAACAAGAAGUGAAACUUCAAGUCAGAGCAUGUCUUUAUCCUGUUUUCCUUCUCUCACCCCAACCGGUCGCAGCAGAUGGCCC